UGGCGGACGGGUGAGUAACGCGUGGAUAACCUGCCGUAUACCGGGGGAUAACACUUAGAAAUAGGUGCUAAUACCGCAUAAGCGCACGGCUCCGCAUGGGGCAGUGUGAAAAAUUCCGGUGGUAUACGAUGGAUCCGCGUCUGAUUAGCUAGUUGGCGGGGUAACGGCCCACCAAGGCAGCGAUCAGUAGCCGGCCUGAGAGGGUGGACGGCCACAUUGGGACUGAGACACGGCCCAAACUCCUACGGAAGGCAGCAG
rnacentral:rRNA from 1 species